ACCUUUUUGUAGUUCAUAAGCAUGGUGAUUGGCUGUUCACUGUGUAUGUGACACGUGCCUCCCUCAGACCUUACUACCACCUCGGCACAUUACCCAUAUGAGG
ensembl:snoRNA